rnacentral:rRNA from 1 species
GACGAACGCUGGCGGCGUGCUUAACACAUGCAAGUCGAACGGUGAUGGAGGAGCUUGCUCCUCCGGAUCAGUGGCGAACGGGUGAGUAACACGUGAGCAAUCUGCCCUCGACUCUGGGAUAAGCGCUGGAAACGGCGUCUAAUACCGGAUACGAGCUUCGGAGGCAUCUCCAGGAGCUGGAAAGAACUUCGGUCAAGGAUGAGCUCGCGGCCUAUCAGCUAGUUGGUGAGGUAACGGCUCACCAAGGCGACGACGGGUAGCCGGCCUGAGAGGGUGACCGGCCACACUGGGACUGAGACACGGCCCAGACUCCUACGGGAGGCAGCAGUGGGGAAUAUUGCACAAUGGGCGCAAGCCUGAUGCAGCAACGCCGCGUGCGGGAUGACGGCCUUCGGGUUGUAAACCGCUUUUAGUAGGGAAGAAGCGAAAGUGACGGUACCUGCAGAAAAAGCAUCGGCUAACUACGUGCCAGCCGCCGCGGUAAUAC